UCUGUCUUGUAAAUGGAAUGAUGGAAAUUUAAACACUUUUUAAAGUAUCAAUUGGAGGGCAAGUCUGGUGCCAGCAGCCGCGGUAAUUCCAGCUCCAAUAGCGUAUAUUAAAAUUGUUGCAGUUAAAAAGCUCGUAGUUGAAUUUCUGCUAAAAAUAACCGGUCUGCUUUUAAUAAAGGUGGUAUCUUGGUGUGUUUUUAGCAAUAAUGUCCUUUGAAAUGUUUUUUACUUCAUUGUAAUAAAUUAUAUUUAGGAUUUUUACUUUGAGAAAAUUAGAGUGUUUCUAGCAGGCUAAUGCUUUGAAUACUGCAGCAUGGAAUAAUAAAAUAGGAUUUUGGUUCUACAUUAU
rnacentral:rRNA from 1 species